UUAUAUGAUAGGUGGUGCAUGGCCGUUCUUAGUUCGUGGAGUGAUCUGUCUGCUUAAUUGCGUUUCAAAUUUUUAACCGAGGACCGGGUUUUGGUUUGGCUAGUGGUCCUACGAUGACUGUGAACUGUCAUGUCUUCGGAUGUACGACUAUCGGUCUAGGAUCACAUGACUUGCCCCUGGGACUCUUUUGAACGCAACGGACGUGAUUGCAACCCCUUGUUGAGAUUAGAGAUAGUCUCGAUAUUCACUGGCCAAACUGGCUGCUUUAUGCAGUCUUGUUGAAUGGUGGAUAAACUCGGGGGA
rnacentral:rRNA from 1 species